rnacentral:misc_RNA from 1 species
AACCUAGCACACCUGCGGUGUGUACCUGCGGAAGGAUCAUUACAGAGUUACUACUCCAAACCCAUUGUGAACCUUACCUAUGUUCUGUUGCCUCGGCGGCGCGGUCAGCGCCCCUCUGAAAAGAGGACGAUGCCCUCCCGCCGGCAGCACCAAACUCUUGAAUUUUACAGCGGAUUACAGUUCUGAUUUAAAAACAAAAAAAACAAGUUAAAACUUUUAACAACGGAUCUCAGAUCGGAA